UACAGAGGGGGGCAAGCGUUGUUCGGAAUUACUGGGCGUAAAGGGCGCGUAGGCGGCCCGCUAAGUCGAACGUGAAAUCCCCGAGCUCAACUCGGGAACUGCGUCCGAUACUGGCGGGCUUGAAUCCGGGAGAGGGAUGCGGAAUUCCAGGUGUAGCGGUGAAAUGCGUAGAGAUCGGGAGGAAGGCCGGUGGCGAAGGCGGCGCUCUGGAACAUUUCUGACGCUGAGGCUCGAAAGCGUGGGGAGCAAACAGG
rnacentral:rRNA from 1 species